GGGGGUGCAACGGUUUCGACUGGGUAAAAAAGGAACGAUAUAAGCAUACCGCAGGGCUGCGACUGCGUUAAAACGCGGGCUAAAUUCAAAUGCUAAAUCUGAAAACAACACGGUAAGAUAUAACAACAAUCUUGCUUUCGCUGCGUAAUUAAAGCGGCGGCGUCGCUGCGUUUUUUCCCGUCGGGAGCGUAUGCGGCGUCAAUUAAGACGGGGAACGCCUUAAAAAGAGUAGUCUUGCUUUUUAAGGGGCUUUUUAAGACCGACGUUAUCUUGUAGCCCGUAUCCGGACGGCAGGUAAAAGAGAUUAAACGGAUACUAAGUAUGUAGAAGGUCGUUUUGUUUUUGCGCAACACAGGAGUUCGACUCUCCUCACCUCCACCA
rnacentral:tmRNA from 1 species